CCUACGGGAGGCAGCAGUGAGGAAUAUUGGUCAAUGGACGAGAGUCUGAACCAGCCAAGUAGCGUGAAGGAUGACUGCCCUAUGGGUUGUAAACUUCUUUUAUAAAGGAAUAAAACGAGGCACGUGUGCCUUUUUGCAUGUACUUUAUGAAUAAGGAUCGGCUAACUCCGUGCCAGCAGCCGCGGUAAUACGGAGGAUCCGAGCGUUAUCCGGAUUUAUUGGGUUUAAAGGGAGCGUAGAUGGGUUGUUAAGUCAGUGGUAAAAAUUCGGGGCUCAACCCCGUCCGGCCGUUGAAACUGGGGGCCUUGAGUGGGCGAGAAGAAGGCGGAAUGCGUGGUGUAGCGGUGAAAUGCAUAGAUAUCACGCAGAACCCCGAUUGCGAAGGCAGCCUUCCGGCGCCCUACUGACGCUGAGGCACGAAAGUGCGGGGAUCGAACAGGAUUAGAUACCCUUGUAGUC
rnacentral:rRNA from 1 species